GACGAACGCUGGCGGCGUGCUUAACACAUGCAAGUCGAACGAAGUGGCGAACGGGUGAGUAACGCGUAAUCAACCUGCCCUUCAGCGGGGGAUAACAGUUGGAAACGACUGCUAAUACCUCAUACUGAAGGAGGGGAUUGCGUCUGAUUAGCUAGUGGGCGGGGUCACGGCCCACCAAGCGAUGAUCAGUAGCCGGUCUGGGAGGAUGAACGGCCAAAUUGGGACUGAGACACGGCCCAGACUCCUACGGGAGGCAGCAGUGGGGAAUCUUCCGCAAUGGACGAAAGUCUGACGGAGCAACGCCGCGGGAGUGAUGACGGCCUUCGGGUUGUAAAGCUCUGUUAAUCGGGACGCGGUACCGGAAGAGAAAGCAACGGCUAACUACGUGCCAGCAGCCGCGGUAAUAG
rnacentral:rRNA from 1 species